ACAAAGUGCUCUGAUGUUCCUGUGUCCUUAUUGGCUCGUUCGUCUUCAACGAUAUAAAGAUAACAUACACGGUCCAUGGGAUGAAGCUGUGAUAUCUACUUGACAUUCGUAACCUGAGGUGGAAAGCUCAUGCUACUGUGAAAUGAAAGGAAGGAUGACGUUAAGUCAAGAAUUUUCUUGUGCUUUA